GAGGCAGAGUCUCACUCUGUCGCCAGGCUGGAGUGCAGUGGUGUGAUCUUGGCUCACUGCAACCUCUGCCUCCUGGGUUCAAGCGAUUCUUGUGCCUCAGCCUCUCGAGUAGCUGGGAUUACAGGCAUGCGCCACCACACCCAGCUAAUUUUUGUGUUUUUAGUAGAGACGGGGUUUCACCAUUUUGGCCAGGAUGGUCUCAAUCCCCUGACCUCGUGAUCCACCUGCCUCGGCCUCCCAAAGUGUUGGGAUUACAGGCAUGAGCCACUGUGCUUGGCCUGUUAUUUUAUUUUCUUAUAACUACAACUUUUCUUCUUGAAUUUUCAGGUCAGAGGCAAGAAAAACUCUUUACAGGUUUUUAGUGGGGGGCUUAUGGAGUAUUUCAGGAGUUCUUUGCAAAUUAAAUCAUCUUUUCACUUGUAUUGUUUUUCAAAACUUUGUUGAUUUCUAAAAUGUGCCAACUGUGAGUAAACUAUGGUAUUUGCAAGUGGUUUUUACAUAAUAUUUGAGAUGAGGAAGUGAGAUUGUGCAUGACAUACUUCUCCUUUGUAUUCUCUCAGUGCCUUACAGCAGGUUACUCCAUUCUGCUAUGACAACUUGUUUCAAAUGUUAAUUUACAUAGGAUUUUUUAUAAGCCAUUAAGGCAUAUGUAUAGUAUAUCAGUAAAGAUGGAUGGUGCAUAUAUAAAUAGUCUUCUGUAAUAGUGAUUGGAUUUACUUCUCAAUUAUGAGAGACAAAAAUUAUCCCCUCACCUGUCUCUAUUCUUUCAACAGGUUGAUCCCUUUUCAUGAUUUUUCAUUAGGUGGUUCAGGAAGUUUCCAUAUUACAGCGCUUCAGACUGUAUAUGUUAGUUUAAAAAUCACUUUUCUCUCUCUCAACUUCUUUCUUUUUUUUUUGAAGACUUAAUUUAAAAAAUUUGGGUUGUUAGAUCCGUAUCAUAGAUUUGGCCUAGCCUCUUCUGUUAACCUAGUCCACAGAUGAGCGAAUCUGGUUAGUUGAAGGACAUUGUGAUUUGACUCUGGUCACGCGAGGAAGUAGAAGGGCAAAGACAGGACCGGCAGUUUACAUUUCCAGUGGUUAAACCUCACGGUACUUUGGGACUGCUUGUUAACUUUUGUGGUUGUCUGAGGCCAAUCUAACGUGACCAUUUCUGACACCUCAACAGAGAGAGGAAAGCAACUUGAGCAAUGAGAGUAAAUAACUUGGGCUCUCAGAGAUUUGAAGAUAGAGAUCUCAUUGUGAGGGGGACUAUUUUGCAGGUCCUCAUUUCUCCAAGAAAGAGAUGGUGUUACAGGAACCCACUGAAAGCCAUAUCCCAUUAAAUGAGGAACUAAUUUUGGCUGGGCCUUCUUGUAAUGUCCUCGCAGGUGUGUUGUGAAGAUUAAUGCAGGGUAGUAUGUUUGUAGAUUGACACCUAGUCUAAACUUGAGGUAAUUGGUGCUCUGUGAAUACUCAGUCGUGUUCUUUUAUAGCCUUAAUCAUGAUUUGAACUAGUCCCUUGCUUUUUAAAUGACUGAAUGAAGUCCUUCGUGGUAAGGGAGUACGUUGAUAACUUAGUUUACUAUAUGGGUUUGUGGUCGCAUCCCAGUCAUCAGCUGCUAUCAUUUUCCUUCUUCAUCCCUUAUACUGAGAUUUGGGUUACAGCUUUUUAUUCUUCGAAGGAUCACAAAGCAGUGUACAGACACCUGCCUUCUUUAAGGAUGAAAGGAAGAUAAAGUGGUCUUUUUUUGUUUACUUAUUUGUUUCACCUCUUGUUUGAGUAACUUCUAAGGUGCUAUUCUCUCUCUCUUUUUGCUACCUCAUGAGCUCUUGUCACAGCCAUGGAAACCAGCCUCGUUUAGAAAGGGAACUUAGUUCAGAAGGGGUUAAAAGCCUUCCAGAAUUUUUCUUUAGCUGCUGAAGUUUUUACAUGUGGUUACAUGACUUUAAGUUUUAUGCAUUACGCUCUUAAUUCUAUUACAAAAUGUGGACUCACCAAUUGCUUUGUGUUUUCCAUGUGACCUGUUACUUCAGGCUACUUGGGGAACAUCUUAGUCCUCUGUAGCUCCUGAACCCAGCACUGGUGCUUCAAGAGAGAAGGUAGCACGUCUUUGUUCAAAACAAAACAAAACGACACUUCUGGAGGCCACAUCCUGAAUAUGAAUGUUCUACUAAGUCACUCAGUUAUGGUUCUAAAGGGAAACUGUAAGAAGACCCACAAGGAGUGGACCAAGACUAUUAUUUAAUUGCACAACUUGAAACUUUGCUGCCAGAAGAGGCAGCUCCAUUCCUUUGACUCCAGUGUUGGGCUGUUAACUGCUGCACCUCAUUGCCUUUUUUUGUUUUUGUUUUUGUUUUGUAGGAGGGUAGGCACUGUUGGGCCAUAUGCACAAAUAUUGUAACUCUUGGUAUCUUUACUGCAUCAUAGUCAAUAAACUUCUUUGUACCCUUUGGCU
rnacentral:lncRNA from 10 species